UACGUAUGGGGCAAGCGUUAUCCGGAAUUAUUGGGCGUAAAGAGUGCGUAGGUGGUUACCUAAGCGCAAGGUUUAAUCUUGAGGCUCAACCUCAUUCUGCCUUGCGAACUGGGCUACUUGAGUGCAGGAGGGGAAAGCGGAAUUCCCAGUGUAGCGGUGAAAUGCGUAGAUAUUGGGAAGAACACCGGUGGCGAAGGCGGCUUUCUGGACUGUAACUGACACUGAGGCACGAAAGCGUGGGGAGCAAACAGGAUUAGAUACCCGGGUAGUCCCU
rnacentral:rRNA from 1 species